UCGAAGCCAAGUUCUGAUGAACAAAAAGGGGUAAGGUUACUGUUGUUCACCUGAGGGUCGUGAAUCGAUCCAGAGAAGUUCCAAACCAGCAAGAAUAAACUCAAUUUGACCUUCUAAAUCGAUAAUUUCGAACAGAACUAUGAACACAAAACUCCAAUCACGACAGAGCCAAAGGACAGUGUACCUGAGCUUCGGUGAGCUCAGGUGGCGGCAAAGAAGAUGAAUCGAGGCAGA
rnacentral:lncRNA from 1 species